CAGCAGGUAGGGGACAAACUUGUGGAUGGAGCCUUUAUCCUGCACAGCUCCAGAGACGCCUUGAGCAACUUUGAUCUUGUCACUCUCACUGUGAAGGAAGAGAUGGAAAACUGAGUGUUGGUUAGCAGUCAGGGUGAGAGUCAUACUGUUGAUUGCCAUUGGAUACAUUGCCUCACAUCUAUCUUCUGAGGAGUUUGUUAUGCAGAGUCAUGACAGCAUGGGGCUUGGGAUACAACACAAGCCAAAUCAUCCACCCUUCAGCUGGCACAAGAAAUCUGGGCCGACAUGUUUGGUUUGCACUGUGCAUUAUAGCCACAAAUCUCCGCUGCAAUCUUCUUUUUAGAGAGAAGAGUUCCUGUGAAACCUUUUCCAAACAAGUCGGAGAGUUUUGGCAAUUAUUUUGAGAAUAGCACCGUCCUAAAUGUCCUUGCUGUUGGCCCACCAUGUCUACUGACUGGGAAUCUGUAUCAUUGGGUAGACCUUUUUUUUGUACACCUUUCCAGAUUCAUGGGCAGAAAUAGUUGCUUGUGUGAGGUUAUUGCAUGUGACGUUCCCAGAAACUCUGGCUCUUACAGAGGUGGUUCUCAUUGCCAUUUAUGCAUCUUACUUGAAUUGGUUUUGGUUUAGUCCUGAUCAGUUUAGCCCUUCCAUUGAAAGAGGAUGUGCCUUUAACCACGACUGUAUUAAGGUGAUGUGCACAUUUUCCCAAAACUCCUUCCUGCAAACUUCAGCUUUUUAAAGUAAAGUUCCUGGAAAAAUGUACCAACAUUUGCAUUAAAAAAGGCAUUUCCUAAAAUGUCUGCCACUCUUUUCUAGCAGGCUCAUCAGUCUUUGCCACAGGACACUGACGUCUAGAGACCACUGAAAAUGAAAUGAGGAAGAGGUGUUGAAAGCUGCAGAAAAAAAAAGGUUAUGGCAGGAGACGGUGUAUGUGAAAUGUUGUUGGGGUGUUGGUAUUAAAUCUGGUGUGUAUACCUGAA